AAAUUGAAGAGUUUGAUCAUGGCUCAGAUUGAACGCUGGCGGCAGGCCUAACACAUGCAAGUCGAACGGUAACAGGAAACAGCUUGCUGUUUCGCUGACGAGUGGCGGACGGGUGAGUAAUGUCUGGGAAACUGCCUGAUGGAGGGGGAUAACUACUGGAAACGGUAGCUAAUACCGCAUAACGUCGCAAGACCAAAGAGGGGGACCUUCGGGCCUCUUGCCAUCGGAUGUGCCCAGAUGGGAUUAGCUUGUUGGUGGGGUAACGGCUCACCAAGGCGACGAUCCCUAGCUGGUCUGAGAGGAUGACCAGCCACACUGGAACUGAGACACGGUCCAGACUCCUACGGGAGGCAGCAGUGGGGAAUAUUGCACAAUGGGCGCAAGCCUGAUGCAGCCAUGCCGCGUGUAUGAAGAAGGCCUUCGGGUUGUAAAGUACUUUCAGCGGGGAGGAAGGGAGUAAAGUUAAUACCUUUGCUCAUUGACGUUACCCGCAGAAGAAGCACCGGCUAACUCCGUGCCAGCAGCCGCGGUAAUACGGAGGGUGCAAGCGUUAAUCGGAAUUACUGGGCGUAAAGCGCACGCAGGCGGUUUGUUAAGUCAGAUGUGAAAUCCCCGGGCUCAACCUGGGAACUGCAUCUGAUACUGGCAAGCUUGAGUCUCGUAGAGGGGGKUAGAAUUCCAGGUGUAGCGGUGAAAUGCGUAGAGAUCUGGAGGAAUACCGGUGGCGAAGGCGGCCCCCUGGACGAAGACUGACGCUCAGGUGCGAAAGCGUGGGGAGCAAACAGGAUUAGAUACCCUGGUAGUCCACGCCGUAAACGAUGUCGACUUGGAGGUUGUGCCCUUGAGGCGUGGCUUCCGGAGCUAACGCGUUAAGUCGACCGCCUGGGGAGUACGGCCGCAAGGUUAAAACUCAAAUGAAUUGACGGGGGCCCGCACAAGCGGUGGAGCAUGUGGUUUAAUUCGAUGCAACGCGAAGAACCUUACCUGGUCUUGACAUCCACGGAAGUUUUCAGAGAUGAGAAUGUGCCUUCGGGAACCGUGAGACAGGUGCUGCAUGGCUGUCGUCAGCUCGUGUUGUGAAAUGUUGGGUUAAGUCCCGCAACGAGCGCAACCCUUAUCCUUUGUUGCCAGCGGUCCGGCCGGGAACUCAAAGGAGACUGCCAGUGAUAAACUGGAGGAAGGUGGGGAUGACGUCAAGUCAUCAUGGCCCUUACGACCAGGGCUACACACGUGCUACAAUGGCGCAUACAAAGAGAAGCGACCUCGCGAGAGCAAGCGGACCUCAUAAAGUGCGUCGUAGUCCGGAUUGGAGUCUGCAACUCGACUCCAUGAAGUCGGAAUCGCUAGUAAUCGUGGAUCAGAAUGCCACGGUGAAUACGUUCCCGGGCCUUGUACACACCGCCCGUCACACCAUGGGAGUGGGUUGCAAAAGAAGUAGGUAGCUUAACCUUCGGGAGGGCGCUUACCACUUUGUGAUUCAUGACUGGGGUGAAGUCGUAACAAGGUAACCGUAGGGGAACCUGCGGUUGGAUCACCUCCUUACCUUAAAGAAGC
rnacentral:rRNA from 1 species